ensembl:lncRNA
GGGCCGCAGCCGUGGCAUAUGGAGGUUCCCAGGCUGCGGGUCACAUCAGAGCUACAGCUGCUGGCCUACACCACAGCCACAGCCACACGGGAUCCAAGCCUAGUCUGCAACCUACACCACAGGUCAGGGCAACUCCGGAUCCCCCUGAGUGAGACCAGGGAUCGAACCCAAAACCUCAUGGUUCCUAGUCGGAUUUGUUUUCGCUGGGUCCCACACCGGGAACUCCCCCAAGUGCUUUUUAAAAAAAUACCAGGCUCUUACAUACAUCGUCUGUUGCUGUGUAAAAGCAGGCCAUGAAAUUUAGCCACUUGAAACGACCAAUUUUAUUAUUUUGCAUAGUGUCCAAGGAUCAGGGAGCCCCUCUGCAGGGUAGUUGUGGCUUUGGGUUUUGUAUGAGGCUGUGGUCAAGCUGGGAACCAGGGACUUGGUCUUUGGACAUCUGCAGGAAUUCAAGCUCAUGCCUGCGCUGUGGGCAGGAGGCUCGGGUCCUCCCUUUGGGGAGGAGGAUUCAGUUCCCUGCUUCCUUCGGCCUCCCUCCCGAGUGAGGCCUCAGAACAAGAGUAAGCUCAAGACACAGCCUUAGUGUCCCUCACUGAGGCUUGUCCCUCACCUCACAAUGUGAUGGGCGCCCACAGGGGCACCAGAACAAGGGGGCAGCCCCCACGCGAGGUAGUAAGAAUGGGGUUAAGAAGCCCAGUGGACCUGCCACCCACUUCUGCAGGUACCAGCUUGUGGCCCGUCUUGUUUGAUCUGUGCCCUCCUUUCUCCACAUGCAGCAAGUGUGAAGCAAACCCAGAGGCUGUCAGCCCGAGGGCCUUCCACACCCUCUCUCGUGGCAUUUUGGCAGCGGCACUCCGCGAGCAAGUGCUCCAAGAGGCCUUCUGAGGCUCCUUGCUCCCAAGCCCAAGUUCAGCCAGGCCAGGUUCAAGGGCAGAGUUUGCCACAGAGCCCAAGCGUGAGAGCGGGUGAGAGUCUCAGGGGUGGAGACAGGUGAAGGUGUAGCCAACACACAAUUCCACAGCAGGGAAGGAGGUUACGAACCGCUCCACUCUGGCCACAGGUCUCCAGACAAGCGUGAGCAGGAAGCUGCCUUCUCUGUGACAGGGACUCACGCCGUCUGGAACAGCGGGAGCAGCUCCCAGCAGCGCAGUCAGGUCCCGUAGCAAAGGCUUUGAGGCGCUCGGCUCAGAGGUCUCUAAGGAGUCACAGUUACUCUCAGGGAGGGCGUCUACCAGUUGUUCCUUCUCUUCCAGUGGCACAUUGUCCAUCAAACUUCUCAUCUAGGAGCUCCCGUUGUGGCUCUGGGUUAAGAACCUGACACAGGCCUGGCCUGGCUCCAGGCUGUGGCCUAGGUCCCAGAUGGAGCUCUGAUACCCUGUGGCUGUGGUGUAAGCUGGCAGCUGCAGCUCCGAUUCGACCCCUAGCCUGGGAACCUCCAUAUGCUGCAGCUGCAGCCCUGGGGAAAAAAAAAGAAAUCACACCAUAACAGAGACUCACCUCUUAAUCAGAAGGGAAGCCAAGGACUGUGGCCUCUCCUCUCCUUUUAAAACACACCCCCUGCCUCCUAGCAACCUCAAGGGCCUCUUCCUGUGCAGGGCCUGGGUGCGGGGAGGCUGAGGGUGUGGCUUCUCUUUGAAAAUUAGGCUAAGGACCCAGAAGACCUGCUCCUGAGCACCAGGCAGAUGCCUCACGCUCUGAUGUUGGGAACGUGGGACCAUAAGACGAGUUUGUUUCACGUCAAGUUUUGGAGUCAUUUACAGACCCGACCAAGGAAAUUAACAAGUUCAGGAGCCAUUAACAAAUGGCUCAGUGGGUUGGGGAUCCAGCAUUCUCACUGCUGUGGUGAGGGUUCAAGCCUUGGCCUAGGCGCUUCCAUGCAGUGGGUGUGGCCAAAAAAAGAAAAUGAGUUUUUAAACAUCAUUCAAGAUCUGACCAAUAUUUUCCUUGACUGUUCUGAGUUUCACACCUGGCGUUAGUUGCAGCAGCAUCUCCGUCGACAGGAUCGGUCUCCCUGCUCUGCACAGCGUCCUGUGGAAGGACCAGGUCACUGGUCCUGAAGAGUCUCCGGGACCAGCUGGCAACACCACACCAGUGCUGACACCUGCCCUUGAUCUUUUCUGCAGGUGCGGGAGGGGCCCGCAGGAGCCGGACUCCAGGAUUGUGACGUGUUUCUGCACCAUCGCAAGGGAGGGUUGAUUCUAUUUUGAAACUUUUAUCAAAUUAGCAAAGAACCCGAGAAAUAUGAUGCGGCAUGGCCACACCCCAGCGCCUGUGACUAACAAAUACUACUACGUGUUAAUUAUUUUUUGUCUUUUUAGGGCCACAUCCGUGGCAUAUGGAAGUUCCCAGGCAAGGGGUUGAACAAGAGCUACAGCUACCAGCCUACACCACAGCCACAGCCACACUGGAUCCUUAACCCCCUGAGCAAGGCCAGGGAUCGAACCUGUGUCCUCAUGGAUACUAGUUGGGUUCACUACCAAUGACCCCCAGUGGGAACUCCAAUGCAUAUUAAUAUAAAAAGGCUCUGAUGGGAAGUUCCUGUUGUGGCUCCCGUGAGCUGUGGUGUAGGUCACAGACACAGCUGCUGCUCUGUGGCUGUGGCUGUGGUGUAGGCUGGCAACUGCAGCUCCAAUUCAACCCCUAGCCUGGGAACAUCCAUAUGUUUGCUGUGAGUGCAGCCCUAACCACCCCCCAAAGUAAAAAACCCCUGUGAUGAAUGAAAACUUUUCACAUUAUUCAAGUAAAAGUAUUUAAUGACACAGAAAGGCAACCGGUUCUCUUACAGCGUCACUAAGGGAUCCUUUACACAAUCCACCCACUGAAAGUGUACAAUUCAACGAUUUCCUCGCCAAUCUGUGGACGUGCCUAAUGAUCACUCCAAUAACGUCCCCUUGAGAUGCCUGUGGUCGGUGCCCACUCCAGCCUCCCCGCCGUACCCCAGACCCUGGCAACCCCGUCCCGCUUUCCGCAUCUGUACAUCCUCCUUCCUGGACGUUCGUUUUGCGUCCGUGGACUCACACCACCUAGAGGAUCUUGCAUCUGCGAGCUCACCUGACGGUCUGGGUUCCAUCUAGAGCGUCCUGGUUUUUGUGUAAGUACAAUGGCCCAUUUUGCUGUAUUCACUUGCUGGUUGAUGGACUUUGGGUUCCUUUUUGCUGUCAGAACAUCUGCACUUUGCUGGCCUGAAGGCAUGUUCCUUUGUCCUGGGUUCACUCCCGAGAGGAGUGGAAUUCCCCACUUUGCAGGCGGAUGGACCAUCUUGCAAUCCAGAGAAGGUUCUAACUGGGCACACCCUUGCCAACACUUGGCAUUGUCUUUUUGACCGAAGCUGUCCGAGUGGGUGUGACAUGCUGCCUCAAUGCUGAUUUCAUUUCCCUGAUGAAGAGUCUCUUAUGGUAGAACAUCUAUUCAAGUUUUUUGUCCAUUUUUGUUAUUAUUGUUUGGCUUUUUAGGGCCGCACCCACAGCACAUGAAGGUUCCCAGGCUAGGGGUCAAACAGGAACUACAGCUGCCAGCUUAUGCCACAGCAACGCCUGAUCCGAGCCGCAGCUGUGACCUACACCACAGCUCAUGGCAACGCCGGAUCCUCAACCCACUGAGCCAGGACAGGGAUUGAACCUGCAUCCUCAGGGAUGCUAGUUGGGUUUGCUAAACCGCUGAGCUGCUGAGCUCACAGCUUUUUAAAUGUAUACAGCUAGCUCAUUACAGAAGUGAACACAGGUUUAUGUGCAUGACUUAGUAUAUGUACUUUCCAGCUCUGUCUGGGAAGGGCCCCGAAGCAGUAACAGCCCUGGAGCAAUGAGCACACCCACGGGCGAGAUCUUGGUGGCUACAUACCAGUCUCCGUGAAAGGAGCUUGGAGCCUCUGGCGGUGCCAGAGUCCCGAAAUGCUUAAAAAAGGACACAGCAGGUCAAAAGGGGACAGACAGGAGGAACCUUAACAGUCUGAGCAACAGAGUAACAGUUACCUGGUUAUGACUCAUAGAAUCAAACACCCACAAAUCCACACUGAUAUAAAUAACUGAAUAAAUGGUGGACAAAGAACUGCUCUUUUUUACAAAAGAACUCCAGUUAAUGAAAUGAAAAGACAAUCUACGGAAUAGGAGAAAAUAGUUUCAAAUGAUGCAACCGAGAAGGGCUUGAUCUCCAGAAUAUACAAAUAACUCAUACAACUUGACACCAAAAGAUAAAUGAAUAAAUAACCCAAAUGAAAAAUGGGCAGAAGACCUAAAAAGACAUUUCUCCAAGGAAGACAUAUUAGCUGGCCAACAGGCCCAAGAAAAAAUGCUCAACAUCACUAAUUAUUACAGAAACACAAAUCAAAACUACAAUGAGGUAACACUUUACACUGGUCAGAAUGGCCGUCAUUAGUAAGUCUAUAAAUACCAAAUGCUGGAGGCGGGGUGGAGAAAGGGUGUCCUCCUAUGGUCCAACCACUAUGAAACAGCAUGGAGAUUCCGCAGAAAACUACACAACUACCAUACGAUCCAGCAAUCCCACUCCUGGGCACAUAUGCAGAAGAACCUUUCAUUCAACAGAAAAGAUACACGUACCCCUGUGCUCACUGCAGCCAAACAUGGAAACAAGCUGAACAUCUACGCAGACCAGUGGGUUAAGAUGUGGUCCAUACACACAAUGGACUGCGACUCAGCCGUUGAAAGGAAAGAAAGAACGGCAUUUGCAGCAACACGGAUGGACCUAGAAAUUAUUGUGCUAAGCGAGGUCAGUCACCAACAUCGAAUGCUUUCACUUCCAUGUGGGAUCUAAAACAGGACACACUGAACUUCUUUGCAGAACAGACACUGAUGCAGACUCUGAAAGACUGAUGCUUUCCAAAGGAGACAGGUUGGGGGUGGGGGGCACACUGGGGGUCUGGGAUGGAAAUGCUAUAAAAUUAGGUUGUGAUGAUUGUUGUACAACUAUAAAUGUAAUAAAAUUCACUGAGAAAUGAAAA